rnacentral:sRNA from 1 species
UGGGACUCUCAGAGUCUGAACCACCAACCAAAGAACAUACACGGGCUGGACCUAGGCCUUUCUGCUCAUGUGUAGCAGUCUAGAAUUCUGGGCUCUGCUCCAUGGCUGAUGGGACCGCUACUCAUAAACCAUCACUGUCUGAAGAUCACCUGCUUUGGCCACCUGCUGCAGCGCCUUGGAUGACAUGAGCCUGAAGGGCGCCAAUCCAGGAAUAGCUGAUAAAGAUCAUGACUGUAGUGUCCCUCGGGAUUGUGAGGAAUGCAUGGGCCAACUCUUGCUAAGUGCUUAACAAAGUAUCAGGAGUGCUACAAGACAGACUCUGGGCCAGACAUGAAGAUUCGCAGACAAGUGGCUACUGGGAAGUGAUUUCAGGUGUUUUUAUCAAGUAAGUUACCAUGAAGUACAAUCUGGACCUACUGCUUUUGGGGAAUCUGUUAUAUCUGCAUAGAUCAAGAGUCUCCAAGAUAGUUUACAUGAAGGUCAGGAGUAUCAAAUCCUGCUCAAUUUUCAGGACUGACUGAAGGGGUGUUAUGUCCUGGUCACUUUCAUGUGGCUUUCCAUGUGGUGGCCAGAGCUAUGGAUGCUUGUAGAAAGACAGUUUUGGUACAUCUACGUAGGGACCCGAAGAGCAGGGGAGUGAGUCAGGCAUCCAGAUCAUCCACCACAGUUCUCAUUGCUGAAUGACAACUUGUCUCUAUUUUCUACUUCCAGAUGUGAGGUGUGAGUGGAGGGAAAAACCCAAGGAAGAAUGGGGUGGGGGACAUGAGAAGGAUGGAGGGAAAAGAGAGAGAACAUCAGUGGGAUCACAGCGACCUAAGAUACAUAUCUUCUCUUUCCCCACUUUGGUUUGCUGAGCAAUGGUCAGAAUGCAGGAAUCCUGUGGUCCGCAUGAGGAGGUUCAACUGAAUGGCUGGUAGGUUGAUUCUUCCAUUUUGGUAUCUUUUGUAUAGUUUCCCGUAGGGGAGGAAGAUAGAACAGGGCUUGCUCUGACAGCUUGAGGCUAAGAGAGGUGAAAUCAGAUGGUCUCAGCCUUGUUCCCAUGCUGCUUAGCAUCCGCAUCAGCAAGAUCCACUCAAUUUCUUCCUGCUCACAGCUGAGGUGAUGAAAAGUCACAUCGAGCCAGAUGAAGCCCUGGGACAGUCGCCAGCGCAGAACAGUUGUUUCACCUUAAAACAAGCCUCAUCUUGGCAGUGUCACCAUCGUGAGAGAAGUCACACAUGCUUAUGUUG